CGGAGUGGCGGACGGGUGAGGAAUACAUCGGAAUCUACUCUGUCGUGGGGGAUAACGUAGGGAAACUUACGCUAAUACCGCAUACGACCUACGGGUGAAAGCAGGGGAUCUUCGGACCUUGCGCGAUUGAAUGAGCCGAUGUCGGAUUAGCUAGUUGGCGGGGUAAAGGCCCACCAAGGCGACGAUCCGUAGCUGGUCUGAGAGGAUGAUCAGCCACACUGGAACUGAGACACGGUCCAGACUCCUACGGGAGGCAGCAGGU
rnacentral:rRNA from 1 species